CUCCGUUUCACAAUGUAAGUCAUUCUAACAUUUUCCACAUUCAUAUUAAUGUUAAUGAAUCUAGAUAUAUAUAUAUGUCUAUAUUCAUUAACAUCAAUAUGAAUGUGGGAAAUGCUAGAAUGACUUACAUUGUGAAACGG
rnacentral:misc_RNA from 1 species